GCUCACCUCCACAAUUUCUGUGCUGGAGUACCUCGUCAGGGUCUGCUCCACCGGGUGGAUUACUGAGAUCUGUACUACUGUAUUCAGUUUCCGAUCACUGACAGGAGCCACAAGAUCCCUGCAGGCUGGCAACAGCAAAGGAAAAAAAAAAGAACAGGAAAAAAAAAAGAAAGGAAGAAAGAAAGAAACUCAGUCGAUCUCUCAGGCAAACGUCUGCGCAGAGCUGAAAUAAACUUUGUCUAGCCGGUGAAGGAAAUCUCCUGGUUCUCAGCUGGCUUUACAGAGGAAGUCUCUUGGAAGUACCUUACAGAAAUAGGAAGUCACGUGCUGCCAAGCUGCAUUGAGAGUUCAUUUCCACUGACCACAUUUGCAGCACAUGCAAGUCUUGAGUGCUCGGGGAUCGCAGCUCCAGUGUAUGAAAAUGUAGAAGACACACACAGCCAACAAAAUGUGAGGGCUUUAAUUAGCCAAUAACCCCUAGGGCUUCUUUCACACUCUUGCAUGAGUCCUCGGCACUGUGGAAACAGGAAGACUGAUUACCCUGCCACAGCGGAGCUCAAGCAGAAGAGGAAGCAGCCAGGGGUUAAAGAGCCCUCUGUCUGGAAUUCAGAACCAUCCAGGAAGAGAGCAACUCCGACAAGGACUGGUGCUGGAAUUAAAAACAUGUAUCACCACUCCCGGAGAACUAAAAGCAGAAAAUUAGA